rnacentral:rRNA from 1 species
AGUGAACGCUGGCGGUAGGCCUAACACAUGCAAGUCGAACGGCAGCACAGUAAGAGCUUGCUCUUACGGGUGGCGAGUGGCGGACGGGUGAGGAAUACAUCGGAAUCUACUUUUUCGUGGGGGAUAACGUAGGGAAACUUACGCUAAUACCGCAUACGACCUACGGGUGAAAGCAGGGGAUCUUCGGACCUUGCGCGAUUGAAUGAGCCGAUGUCGGAUUAGCUAGUUGGCGGGGUAAAGGCCCACCAAGGCGACGAUCCGUAGCUGGUCUGAGAGGAUGAUCAGCCACAAUGGAACUGAGACACGGUCCAGACUCCCAAGGGAGGCAGCAGUGGGGAAUAUUGGACAAUGGGCGCAAGCCUGAUCCAGCCAUACCGCGUGGGUGAAGAAGGCCUUCGGGUUGUAAAGCCCUUUUGUUGGGAAAGAAAAGCAGCAGGUUAAUACCCCGCUGUUCUGACGGUACCCAAAGAAUAAGCACCGGCUAACUUCGUG